rnacentral:rRNA from 1 species
CCUGGCUCAGGAUGAACGCUGACAGAAUGCUUAACACAUGCAAGUCGAUGGGGAAGUGGUGCUUGCACCAUGGUAACCAUGGCGGACGGGUGAGUAACGCGUAAGGGACUUACCUGCAGGACUGGGAUAACAGGGGGAAACUCCUGCCAAGACCGGAUAAUGUCAUGGGGCUGCAUGGCUCUGUGAUUAAAGGAGACGCCUGCGGAGAGACUUGCGUCCUAUUAGCUAGUUGGUGAGGUAAUGGCUCACCAAGGCGAUGAUAGGUAGCCGGCCUGAGAGGGUGAACGGCCACAAGGGGACUGAGAUACGGCCCUUACUCCUACGG